AUUGAACGCUGGCGGCAGGCCUAACACAUGCAAGUCGAACGAGUGGCGGAAGGGUGAGUAAUGUCUGGGAAAAGGCCCGAUGGAGGGGGAUAAAUAAUGGAAACGGGAGCUAAUACCGCAUACGCUCGGAUGUGCACAGCUGGUAUUAGCGAGUAGGUGGGGUAAAGGCUCACCUAGGCGACGAUCCCUAGCUGGGCUGAGAGGAUGACCAGCCACACGGGAACUGAGACACGGUCCAGAGUCCUACGGGAGGCAGCAGUGGGGAAUAUUGCACAAUGGGCGCAAGCCUGAUGCAGCCAUGCCGCGUGUAUGAAGAAGGCCUUCGGGUUGUAAAGUACUUUCAGCGAGGAGGCGUUACUCGCAGAAGAAGCACCGGCUAACUCCGUGCCAGCAGCCGCGGUAAUAC
rnacentral:rRNA from 1 species